rnacentral:rRNA from 1 species
CCCUUAGAUGUUCUGGGCCGCACGCGCGCUACACUGAGCCCUUCAUCGAGUUUACAACCUUGGCCGGUAGGUCUGGGUAAUCUUCUCAAAGGGGCUCGUGCUGGGGAUAGAUUAUUGUAAUUUUUAAUCUUCAACGAGGAAUUCCUAGUAAACGCAAGUCAACAGCUUGCAUUGAUUACGUCCCUGCCCUUUGUACACACCGCCCGUCGCUACUACCGAUUGAAUGGCUUAGUGAGCCCGAGGGACUGUUGCACCUAGAGGGUUUUCUCUCCAGGAGCAGCCGGGAACUCGGUCAAACUUGAUCAUUUAGAGGAAGUAAAGGUCGUAACA